CAGUCCUUGACAUGUCCUGGACGGAUUGCAGAGAUGCGAUCUUCUCUUCGGAGCCGGGAACACAGGUGCUGCAUGGCUGUCGUCAGCUCGUGUCGUGAGAUGUUGGGUUAAGUCCCGCAACGAGCGCAACCCUCGCCUUUAGUUGCCAUCAUUCAGUUGGGCACUCUAGAGGGACCGCCGGCGACAAGCCGGAGGAAGGUGGGGAUGACGUCAAGUCCUCAUGGCCCUUACACCCUGGGCUACACACGUGCUACAAUGGCGGUGACAGUGAGCAGCUAGUUCGCGAGAACGUGCUAAUCUCAAAAAACCGUCCCAGUUCAGAUUGCACUCUGCAACUCGAGUGCAUGAAGGUGGAAUCGCUAGUAAUCGCAGAGCAGCAGGCUGCGGUGAAUA
rnacentral:rRNA from 1 species